CAAUCAUUUUGCAAAAUUAAAUAUUCUUAAAGACAAGGCCAAUUAUUAUAAAAGGUCGUAGAUGCACCAAACUGACUGUAAAAGGCUGAAAUUGGCAUUAAAUAUAUGGUAACAACCAAAUAGUCUAGAUCAAAUAAUAAGUGCACCUCAAUAAAUAACAUACUUGAUUAGCUUCAGUAGACAGCUGUGAUAAUUGACUUCUCAAAGCUCUGACAUCUUCUUCAAGUUUCUUCUUCUGAUGACUCUCCUGUUCCAAUAUUUCCUCAAGGUUCAUAGCAUCGAUGUUUCCAUCUGCAAAC
rnacentral:lncRNA from 1 species